CUGCAGCUCAAGUGGUAGCCGCUAUUAUUGGGCCUAAAACGUUCGUAGCCGGUUUAGUAAAUGCUUGGGUAAAUUGUGUCGCUUAACGAUACGAAUACCGGGUAGACUGCUAAACUUGGGACCGGGAGAGGUUAGAGGUACUCCUGGGGUAGAGGUGAAAUUCUGUAAUCCUGGGGGGAACACCAGUGGCGAAGGCGUCUAACCAGAACGGGUCUGACGGUGAGGGACGAAGCCCUGGGGCGCAAACCGGAUUAGAGACCCGAGUAGUCC
rnacentral:rRNA from 1 species